GUUCACUUUUACUCUUCUUUGACUUGAUAGGUCUCAGUUCUGAACAGGUAUUAAUACCCUACACUGAUGUAGAAGUGGCUUCAGAAAGGGAAAGAGUUACUCUCUUAUCUGGUGCUUAUUCUACACAUCCUGCCAUCUACAAUGAUGUUCUGUUCACUAUUACUCUUCUUUGACUUGAUAGGUCUCAGUUCUCCGCAGGUGGCAAUGGAGGAGAUGGGGAACAAAGUGAAAAUGACAUGGCUUGGGAACACCUCUCGGAUCCUGGGGCCGGAAAGGGGAAAACUGGGCGAAAGCUUAAGGAGGCUUUUUAGGCUUUCAUUGUUGUGGAAUGCAGCAGAAAAGUAUCCUGGAGACAUUGAGUCAGUCUUCUGCUAUCAUUCUCUUAGGAACCAGAAGAGGAACACUGAACUGGAAGAAGUCAACAGAUCCAUUGGACACAUUAUUAUCAGUGUACUAUGAGAAAUGGAAAUAAGAGUGUGCAUGGUGUGACUAUAGAACAGAGGCCUUAAGUCUCUGAGUUUGUAAACCUCAAUGUUAAUCAUGUUUUAUCCUUUGUUCAUGUUUUGUUAUCCUACUGUAAGUUGAACAGUAGGAAGCUAUUGUUCAAGAGGGGGGACUGUUGGGUUCUGAGAAUAUGAAAUAUACUUAUUCAUUUCACUGGGGGAGAGAGGGUAAUGUAUAACGUUUACAUUAUGUCAGGAUUUGUUAUUGUUAGCUAUCAGGCAUCUUAUGGUAGGGAUCCUCUGGGAUGAGAAGAGAGACAGUCUGGUACAAGUCCCCAUGACAGCCUUGAGUUGGGGAGGAGUGGGCACUUUGGGGCAGAAGUCAGGUCAGAUGAAGUGAGGAAGAACAGAUAUCACUAAGGUUAUUUAUAGCAACAGAGAUGCAUUGGUUGUUUAGAGGUGUAGGAGGAGACUCAGCAUAGGAGAAAGGGUUAAAUAUCAAUGCUUGUGUGAAAUGUUGUCGUCUACCGCAGCUGUAUGAACCCUC
ensembl:lncRNA